AGAGUUUGAUCCUGGCUCAGGACGAACGCUGGCGGCGUGCCUAAUACAUGCAAGUAGAACGCUGAAGAGAGGAGCUUGCUCUUCUUGGAUGAGUUGCGAACGGGUGAGUAACGCGUAGGUAACCUGCCUUGUAGCGGGGGAUAACUAUUGGAAACGAUAGCUAAUACCGCAUAACAAUGGAUGACUCAUGUCAUUUAUUUGAAAGGGGCAAAUGCUCCACUACAAGAUGGACCUGCGUUGUAUUAGCUAGUAGGUGAGGUAACGGCUCACCUAGGCGACGAUACAUAGCCGACCUGAGAGGGUGAUCGGCCACACUGGGACUGAGACACGGCCCAGACUCCUACGGGAGGCAGCAGUAGGGAAUCUUCGGCAAUGGGGGCAACCCUGACCGAGCAACGCCGCGUGAGUGAAGAAGGUUUUCGGAUCGUAAAGCUCUGUUGUAAGUCAAGAACGAGUGUGAGAGUGGAAAGUUCACACUGUGACGGUAGCUUACCAGAAAGGGACGGCUAACUACGUGCCAGCAGCCGCGGUAAUACGUAGGUCCCGAGCGUUGUCCGGAUUUAUUGGGCGUAAAGCGAGCGCAGGCGGUUUGAUAAGUCUGAAGUUAAAGGCUGUGGCUCAACCAUAGUUCGCUUUGGAAACUGUCAAACUUGAGUGCAGAAGGGGAGAGUGGAAUUCCAUGUGUAGCGGUGAAAUGCGUAGAUAUAUGGAGGAACACCGGUGGCGAAAGCGGCUCUCUGGUCUGUAACUGACGCUGAGGCUCGAAAGCGUGGGGAGCGAACAGGAUUAGAUACCCUGGUAGUCCACGCCGUAAACGAUGAGUGCUAGGUGUCGGGGAGGAAUCCUCGGUGCCGCAGCUAACGCAAUAAGCACUCCACCUGGGGAGUACGACCGCAAGGUUGAAACUCAAAGGAAUUGACGGGGGCCC
rnacentral:rRNA from 1 species